UCGAGUGGCAGCCGGCCAUAUUCUAUCAGAGGGACGCCCGUGGGAAACUCCUUCUGCGGUAUGGGCGUGACACCGUCGUGGUGAAGACUCUCGCAGAAGUCUUCAAUUUCACUCUCGUCUACGUCGAGGUUCCCUCAGACGAACUUUUCGGAUACUUGCUGCCCAACGGGACCUUCUGCGGCCUGGUGGGAUACCUCGGGAGGGACCUGGGUGAGAUGGGGAUCGCAAACCUCUAUACCUCUGGAAUCGAGGACCGCCACAAAUUCCAGGAUUACAGCACGCAUUUCUCGGAGGACCAAGGAUGCUUUCUCGGCCGGGUCGACCCACCUUUACCAAGAUGGCAGAAUCCAACUUUACCCUUCACGACAACGACCUGGAUCGCUUUCUUGGUGGGCUUCGUGAUCUCUGGGCCAAUCCUUUACUUAUUGUCCAUUUUCAGUGC